CAAUAUAGAAGAUAGAAACUUAACAUUGAAGGUGAACAAUGAAAAUGCUAAAGGUUGUAAAUUAUUCAAAAUUUAUUCUACAAAUGCAUCCAUUACGUCUUAAUAAAAUUCCACAUUUGAAAUAGGGUUACCAUGAAUUUGCAAUCAAACAAGUGGUUGGACUAGUUCUACAUACUGGAGUAGAACAAAGACUGCGAAGGGAUCAAAAAGACUGACAUCAUGGGAGGAGGGAAGAGUGACAUGAAAUCACGCACUUUCAAUGCUAUAAGUUUUGCACUUCUAGAAUCCACACUUGGAAGGCAGAAGAGUGUCUGCCCAACAUCUCCAGUUCAUUUUUUGAUUGUCCCCUUUUAACUUUCCAACUUGUCCAUCUUAACAUUUAAUCACUGGGCAUGGCCCUCAAAAUAAUGCACAACUCA
rnacentral:lncRNA from 1 species